rnacentral:rRNA from 1 species
AGGUUAAAACUCAAAUGAAUUGACGGGGGCCCGCACAAGCGGUGGAGCAUGUGGUUUAAUUCGAUGCAACGCGAAGAACCUUACCUACUCUUGACAUCCAGAGAACUUAGCAGAGAUGCUUUGGUGCCUUCGGGAACUCUGAGACAGGUGCUGCAUGGCUGUCGUCAGCUCGUGUUGUGAAAUGUUGGGUUAAGUCCCGCAACGAGCGCAACCCUUAUCCUUUGUUGCCAGCGGUCCGGCCGGGAACUCAAAGGAGACUGCCAGUGAUAAACUGGAGGAAGGUGGGGAUGACGUCAAGUCAUCAUGGCCCUUACGAGUAGGGCUACACACGUGCUACAAUGGCGCAUACAAAGAGAAGCGACCUCGCGAGAGCAAGCGGACCUCAUAAAGUGCGUCGUAGUCCGGAUUGGAGUCUGCAACUCGACUCCAUGAAGUCGGAAUCGCUAGUAAUCGUAGAUCAGAAUGCAGCGGAUU